UACAGAGGGUGCGAGCGUUGUCCGGAAUCACUGGGCGUAAAGGGCGCGUAGGCGGCUCGGUAAGCGUGCGGUGAAAGCCCGGGGCUCAACCCCCGGGUCGGCCGUGCGAACUGCAGAGCUGGAGCACUGUAGAGGGCAGGUGGAAUUCCGGGUGUAGCGGUGGAAUGCGUAGAGAUCCGGAAGAACGACCGGUGGCGAAGGCGGCCUGCUGGGCAGUUGCUGACGCUGAGGCGCGACA
rnacentral:rRNA from 1 species